rnacentral:rRNA from 1 species
UACGUAGGGGCCUAGCGUUGUCCGGAUUUAUUGGGCGUAAAGAGCUCGUAGGCGGCUUGGUAAGUCAGGUGUGAAAUCUCCACGCUCAACGUGGAGGGGCCACCCGAAACUGCCAUGGCUUGAGUCCGGUAGGGGAGUGUGGAAUUCCCGGUGUAGCGGUGAAAUGCGCAGAUAUCGGGAGGAACACCCGUGGCGAAGGCGGCUCUCUGGGACGGUACUGACGCUGAGACGCGAAAGCGUGGGGAGCGAACAGG